GCCCUCGUAGUCCAAUGGAUAGAAUGCCUGGCUUCGAACCAGGAGAUGGGGGUUCGAUUCCCUCCGAGGGCA
rfam:Parcubacteria (Giovannonibacteria) bacterium GW2011_GWB1_47_6b TY02_C0011, whole genome shotgun sequence.